rnacentral:rRNA from 1 species
UGGGGAAUAUUGGACAAUGGGGGCAACCCUGAUCCAGCCAUGCCGCGUGUGUGAAGAAGGCCUUCGGGUUGUAAAGCACUUUCAGCGGGGAGGAAGGCGUCGUGACUAAUAUUCACGGCGAUUGACGUUACCCGCAGAAGAAGCACCGGCUAACUCCGUGCCAGCAGCCGCGGUAAUACGGAGGGUGCGAGCGUUUAUCGGAAUUACUGGGCGUAAAGCGCGCGUAGGCGGCUUGUUAAGUCGGAUGUGAAAUCCCCGGGCUCAACCUGGGAACUGCAUCCGAUACUGGCGAGCUGGAGUGCGAUAGAGGGGGGUAGAAUUCCUAGUGUAGCGGUGAAAUGCGUAGAUAUUAGGAGGAAUACCGGUGGCGAAGGCGGCCCCCUGGAUCGACACUGACGCUGAGGUGCGAAAGCGUGGGUAGCAAACAGGAUUAGAUACCCUGGUAGUCCACGCCGUAAACGAUGUCUACUAGCCGUUGGAGAUCUUGAAUCUUUAGUGGCGCAGCUAACGCGAUAAGUAGACCGCCUGGGGAGUACGGCCGCAAGGUUAA